CCUACGGGUGGCUGCAGUGGGGAAUAUUGGACAAUGGGCGAAAGCCUGAUCCAGCCAUGCCGCGUGUGUGAAGAAGGCCUUCGGGUUGUAAAGCACUUCCAGUGGGGAAGAAAGCCUUGGGGCUAAUACCCUCGAGGAAGGACAUCACCCACAGAAGAAGCACCGGCUAACUCCGUGCCAGCAGCCGCGGUAAUACGGAGGGUGCGAGCGUUAAUCGGAAUUACUGGGCGUAAAGCGCGCGUAGGCGGUCUGAUAAGCCGGUUGUGAAAGCCCCGGGCUCAACCUGGGAACGGCAUCCGGAACUGUCAGGCUAGAGUGCAGGAGAGGAAGGUAGAAUUCCCGGUGUAGCGGUGAAAUGCGUAGAGAUCGGGAGGAAUACCAGUGGCGAAGGCGGCCUUCUGGACUGACACUGACGCUGAGGUGCGAAAGCGUGGGUAGCAAACAGGAUUAGAUACCCUUGUAGUC
rnacentral:rRNA from 1 species